rnacentral:lncRNA from 1 species
UAAGUGCAUGCACAAGUGUGGACGUUGUCCUUGGCGUUCUUGGUUGGUCGUCUGGUUGUAGCUGGUCGAGUCCCUUGGAUGAUCAUAAUUUGCUCGAAUGUUAGGGGGUGAAACUGAAAAGUUCCGCCAAGCCAUGCAUCGGGCACUGCAGGGACAAACAGCAAUAGCGAUGAUAAUAGUUGUAAGUACUAAAUUUUGUACCUGAGGAAGUAGAGUUAUUAAUUUUAAAGUGUAGGAGAGUUCUCAAUUUGUUUGUUGAAGCUCUUAAAAUAAACCAGCAGCAGCUAAUUGAGCUAGUUGUGGAGAGAGGAGAGUGUACAUAGGUAAAGAGUAAAUAGGGUACUCGCGAAUAAUACAGAAGAAGCCAAUAUCGAUGUUAAUGUUGUGGGCGUAUUUCUUUUGAUUGGGUAGAAUUGGCUUUGUAGAAUAUAUUUUGCUACGCCUAGUUAUGAGUUACUAAUUUGUUUUGUACUGCGAAGAAUUUUUCUUUCUCCUUCUAGGAACUUCUGGACGUUUUGUUUUGUUUUGUUUAAUCUCAUAGCAGCUAAUGAGAUGAAAGUUCCUUGGGUGCACGAGCACCAAAGGAACUUUGCCCUCCUGUGUUUUAAAAUGUAUCAAUUUGUCGCCCUGUGUUUUUUUUUUCUUUUUUUCUUAUCAAUUUUAUUAUUUUUUUUUUUAAAUCAGUGAUAAAAUUAAAAUUAAAGGGUACUAAAGUGAAUAUUUGAUAAAUCUAGAUAAAUAUAUGAAGUUUUUUAUAUAUAAUUUAAUGAAAUAUUAACGAAAAAGUUACCAAAAAGAUAAAAACGAAACCACAGGGAGACAAUUUGAUACAUUUUAAACUACAGGGGGGCAACGUGAGAAACUACGAAACUAUAGGGAGGUUUUUUGAAGUUUUUUUUUUAUUUUUUGAAUAAAGACUACGGGGGGUUUUUUUGAAGUUUUUCCUUUAUCUUUUGAAUAAAGAAGGACGGGAAACUCUAAAACUAAAACUAAAAAGGAAUAUGCAAUUUCAGAAUUCGUGAUUUGAAUUAUUUAUUGGCUUUGGGAAAUUAUUACUAUUUGAUUUGAAUUAUUCGUUGUCUUUGAGAAAGUAUUACCUACGCAUUAUGCCUUUGUACAUUUAUGUACCGCUGGUUUAUCGAUGCUUAAUCUACAUCACUAAUGAGUUGUACUUGUCCUUAAGAAUAUGAUCGUUGGACUAACGUAAGAUGUACUUAAGAACAGAUUGAGUCAGUGCGCAGGAACUUACGGGUGGACUAAGUGUGUCACAGGUCAAAUAAUUUAAGAGACGGCAUAGUGAACUCACAAAUAUUCCAAAAUUCAAAUGUUCAAACGUUUUUGUUACUUAUGUACGUUUUAUUUUAUUUUAUUUCAUUUUUUCUUUUAGAUUUCGAUUAGUAUAAUAUAUAUAUUUUUCCCAAUCUAAUAUUUAUAACUAGAUUUUGUAUAUUAUCUUCUCUCUAUAUAUAGUUUUAUCAUAUGUCGCAUUAUCACCUUAGUGAAGCAUGUAGUGCAAUAUGUUUUAAUUCUAAAUUGAACAUAAUUAUUAUUGUAAUAGUUUUUAAAACUUCUUUGUAUUACUUACUAGAAGAUAUGAAAACUAUUACUCGUUUGUGAAAUAAUUAUUGUGAGCACAUUAACAACCAUUACUUGACAUUAAAGAUUGUAUUCACUAAUAUUUUCUUUUGAAAUCAGGAGCCCACCAGUAACUUUUCUUUUUUUAAAAAAAUCAUGGAGUUCCCAAACCAAUAUUAAGUGCUAAAAAAAGGGGCCCUGAAAGCAAAAAAAUCCUAAUUCUAUAUAUCUACAUGAAAGAUCAAGGGAAAAAAAUGUACAGAGGUCCCAUAAACUUUAGCACUUAUGCAAACAAACUCUCAGACCAUCAAUUGUGGCAAUCUGACUCCCUGAAGUCUAUCAAAUAGUAGGCUUUCUUUUCAAUUGAAAUCACCAACUGCACGGUCAUUUUUAGUUAUAUAUCUUAAAAAUAAUUUGAUAAAGUGUAAAAAUAUAAUUAGAUAAAAGUUGAAGCUAAAUUCAGCGCACUCUUCCAUCCUCAACGCACCACUAGAUGCAAGUAGCCAAAACCAAAUAACCAAGGACCCGGCUAUGCCAAAGCAUCUGCUAAAGGCCAAAAGUAACAAGGCACAGAGUUUCACGCCCACAUUGUGAUGGGCGCCGAAACUGCAACUGCCUAAAAAGUGCAGGUGACACGUUCGGUGCAUUCAUGCUCCUCACGACACCACUCGACAGAGAAUAAAUUGAUAGUUACUAACUGAUUAAUAAGCAGCUACUAAACCAUUAAGAUUAAGCUCAAAAUUGGGAAAACAAACCAACGAAAAAUUAACAUCUGACACAUUCUUACCGUCCAUCGCGCGCCCGUGCAUCCAAAUGGCCCUCAUAGUUUUCGCUGGCGGACAAUACCCACCGUUCAUUUUUCUUUUGUUCCAUGAUCUUCCCAUUGUACGGAGAACCCACAAAUCGUUCAUUUAGUAAAUAUCUAACCAUAUCUACUUUUUUUCAAAACUUUUAUGGGUUCCUUAGUAUGUAUUGGCAGGUCAAAAACGUUGGGCAAGAGAAAAUUGGCGUAAAAAUAGGAAUAUGUAUUUCUCUAUUAUUCGCUGGGGCAUAAAAAUAUAUUUUAAUCGGCCUAUUGAGCAUGCAAUAGAAAUAAACAAAAUCACAUGUAAUGCAAUCUUUCUUAAAUCCCUAAGUGUUCAAUGCAUGUAUCACGAACCACAUUAUAUGAACCAAAAAAAAUAUAUAUAUAUUGGAUAAAAUAGAUGGAUAAUCAAACUCUGACACUAUAGUAAUAAUUGGAAAACCUAAAAGCAUAAAUUAGUUAGCUUACACAUUUUAGUGAAUGCUCCCACAAUGCUCCAACACAAGUUGGCCCAGAAUGUUCUGAUCCACCCAAGCCGAGACAACAGGAAAAACGAACGGUUUUGAUUGUUUCCCACAUGUGACCCAAUACACAACUAAUUUUGGUUCUUUUCCUGCAGGCCCUUACCCAGAAAACAGAAACGUACAACCCUCCCAUAACGUCACAAAAUUUUAAAAUGCACAAAUUAUAUUAAUUACGUGACACCUCCAACCAAUCAAAUGGACCAUUUUCAAUUAAUCCAUCACAUUAUGAUUAUAAAAAAGUAUCUUUCUUGUUUUCUUUUUUUCUAAAAGGGGAGAUGUGGUUAAUUUAUUAUUGUUGAUUUGGUGCAAGUGUAGUACAGUAAACUUUCUCUGUAAUGCCCUCUCGGUAAUCAUUUAGUUACUUCAUUUUUAUAUGGUUUCUUCGUUUAGAAUGUCUUUUUUCUUAAAAAAGCAGCUCUAAGUAUUUGAUAAAUAAAUAAAACAUCUCUUCUUUUUCUUUUUGAUAGAAGGAGGUUUAGGUUUUGAUUGGUCAGAGGCUCAAACUUUCAUCUCUCUAUAUAUUUUUUUCCUGGAUACAUCUCUUUUUAUUACUUCAAUAGCGGUACGAUAAUUAACUUAUAAAUUGUUCCAAAUCAGGCUUAUAUGAGUUAAAAGAACAUGAAAUAUAUAAUGAAAAUCAUUUAACAUUAAAACUUUAGGUCAAACUUUUUUUUUUUAUUAAUUAUUUGAUGUCAAACUAUUUAUAAAAAAAUUCAAACAAGAGUUACAAGUUCUCAUUUCCACUUUUCCGCCAUAGAAUGAACUAAGAAGUGUUAAAGACCUAUUUUUUUCACCCAAAAUGAAGUUGAGAUUGAAGUAGAUUUUUGAGUGAAUUAGAACUUAAGAAAGAUUACUUUUUUCUUCUGCUGUUUGUUUAUAUAAAUAACUGUAGAAUCAAAAAAUUUUUCAAAUUGUUUAUUUGUUUGACAGAAAGUAAAUGACAUAAAAAUUGAAAAUCUCCGAGAUGGCUUAACAUUCUAUAUUUUUUCUUGCGUUUUGCCCUGUAACUUACUUUGUUGUGUGGUGGGCCGAAAUUAAUUACAUUAUUUCAAAAAUUUUGAGUUUCGGUAAGUUAUGAUAAAACUAACAAUAAAAGUGUACAUUUACGACCGAAAAUUAUAUCAUCCCACUUCAUUUUCAAAGUUCCGGUGAAACAAACACACCUUAAGUGCUUAUUGAGAGGCGUCAACAACUUUUUUAACAAAACAGUAAAAGUUUUCACAAAUUUUAGUACAUUGAAUUGCCACUGUUUCCUCAAAUUUUUAUUAUUGCUACUAAUUUUCUAAAAUAUUAUUUUGGUUAAACUUCAAUUUUAUCCUACGGUAUUUUUACUUUAUCAUCCUAUAAUUUAUAAAAGUAUACUUAACUAACUUGCGGUUAAGCGUGUUUACUUUCACACUCUAUGGUUCAACCUAUUAUACUUAACAACUCCGUAAUUUUAUUUUUAUCUUAUUGUAAGAACUUAUCAUUAAAUAAUUUAUCUACAAUUUAACUGCUCUAUAGUUUUAUUUUUAUUUUGCUGUAAGAACUUAUCAUUAAAUAGUUUAUCUUACAAUUUUUCUAAAAAAAUUACUUUGUUGUCCUAUUUGAUAGCAAUUUUUUUAGCAAAAUAAAAAAUAAACGACAUAAUAGUUAAAUGCAACUUAUUAAAGCACAUAAUUACAAAAUAAAAAUGCACUAGAUCACUAUGGGGUAAAAUAUAGUUUGCCCAAUUAUUUUUCUACAUUAUCAACGUAUUAACAUGUAUAAUAUAAAGGCUUUUAACUGGCCGUCCCUAGCGCAAGUGCCAAGUGGCAAAGGGCUCGAUGCAUGGUUGGUACUCGAAAUCUCAAGUUCGAAUCCUAAUUGAUUCAUAUUUCUAAUAGGUUUAUUUCUAAAUGAAAUAAACGAAGCGGGUAGCAUGCUAUCUAUCUCUCGAAUAUAUAUAUAUAUAUAGAGAGAGAGAGAGAGAGAUUGAGAGAGAGAGAGAGAGAGAACUAGUCUUUUAUACUAUCUAUAGUACCGGGGCUCCGGUACAAUAUUCUCGUUUUCGAUUUAAGGGUGUUCAAAUCAACGAUUCACACCGUUAAAACUGAUAUAGAAUAUUUAAAAAUUUUUAAAAAUAAAAUUUUAUAUUUUUUCGACAUAGUUUACUUUAUGAUCAAAUCAUUUCAAAAUUGUAAAUUUUUAAUAGCUACUAUGGCGAGUUUAGAGUUUAACGGUGUAGAAGAAUCUAAAUUUCUUCAAAUUUUGAUAGAAAAUACUUUAAACUAUCUAGAUUAAAGUUAAAAUUCUUGAUCUUGAAUUUAAGUCCUAUGCUCAAAUUUUAAAGAUUAUUCAAUUUCCACCGUCCAUUUUGACAUAAUUUAUUUACUAAGUAAACGAUGUCGAAAAAAACUAAAUUUUAUUCCUAAGAACUUUAUAUACCCUAAAUCAUAUUUAACGGUGCGGAUUGUGAAUUUGAACACCCUAAGAUCGAAAACAAGACUAUAGUACCGGAACUCCGGUACUAUAGAUAGUAUAGUAGCCUAAUUAUAUAUAUAUAUAUAUAUAUAUAUAUAUAUAUAUAUAUAUAUAUAUAUAGGCUAAGGUUUGAAACUAUUGAUAACAAAAGUCUUUUUGCUAUCAAGUUUUUAGUCAUUGGAUGAGAAAUUGUAAGUUAGGAUGAUAUUAGUUUUUUAGGUUGAGUGGUCCCUCUAGGGUUAAGUGGUCCCCACCGAGUUAUAAUAUUUAAUCCAAUGGUUAGAAAUGAUGAAGAGAAUGAUAUAAAGGCUAAAAACUUUAUAGCAAAAAUUUUUUUGUGGCUAUCCAUUAUAUAUAUAUAUAUAUAUAUAUAUAUAUAUAUAUAUCUCUGCAUACAUUUUAAACUAUAUAAAAUUUAUCAAUAUGUGGACAUCCCUAGACAAAACAAAGGUGCAAAUUAUUUCCCAGAUAAACAAUGGUGCAAAAUUCCAAUCAAAUUGACCUCCAUCGGUCCCCCGGAAUGGCCACAUCCCACCUAAGCACGGGUGGUAUGGGAUGCAAUUGUACGUACCCGCGGCAAUAUUUGUAAUUUUCCUUUUAAGUUGUUUUUCGUUUGGAUGUGUAACACACAUUUCAGAGUCUACCUAUAAUACUCUUAAUAAAAAAUGAAUAAUAUAUCCUAUCAAAGUUUUUAUUUUUUAGAUUUAUAAUAGUAUCAUCAUUAAAUAAAAAAUUCUCGAUGUCUAAAAAAUUAAUAGUAAAUACUACCCAAAUACUAUUAAUAAUAUUAUAGUUAGACCACAUUUCUAUUUUUUUAAAAUAAACUAUAUUAUUUUAUGUAUAAAAUAUAUUAUUCUAUCAAAUUAUAUUCUUUCAAAUUUUAUAAAGAGCUAAAAUAAAACUCUUGAUUUGCAGUUAUAAAAAAAAACAAUUUAUAAAAUAAUUAUUACUGAUUAAUUUGUUCUGAGAAUUGAAUGGAAGAUCUUCCCGUGUACAAAAGUAUAAGACUUUGUUUUAGAAUUGGUGGCUUGGCAUUAUAACCCUGUCUAGAGUCUUUCACUCAGAAUAAUUUUGAAACGUCAUUUCAACAUAAAAUACCUAUUUUUCUAUAAACAAAGCUUUUCAACAUCUCGUAUCACAUAAUAAAACUAAUUUACUAUAUAUUUUGGGAUAAAUUUCAGAUACCAUCCAUAUAAUUUCGUACUUUUUUACUUUAAUACCAUAUAAUUUAAAGUGUAUUAAGUUAGUAUUCUGUAAUUUUAUUUUUAUCUUUUUAUCAGUUUCUCCGUUAAUAUUUUGUUAAAUUAUAUACAAAAAAUUUUAGAUAUUCUAUCUAGAUUUAUCAAAUAUUCACUUUAGUACUCUUUAGUUUUAACUUUGUCACUGAUUUAACGAAAAAAAUUAGUAAAAUCGAUAAUAAAAAGAUAAAAAUAAAACCACAAGGCACUAAAUUGAUACACUUUAAACCACAGAGUACUAAAGUGUGAAAGUGUGAAACCACAGAGAUGGUAUUUGAAGUUUUUUCUAUAUUUUAUGUAGCAUAACUAUUAUAAAUAGUAGAUCUGACAAUCUCGACCCAUACCCGCGGUGCCCGCGGGUUAUCCGCAAAUUUGCGGGUAUGGAUACCAACUUUUCAAACCCAAAAAAUUACGGGUAAAACGGGUGGGUACUCAUUAAACUGUGGGCAUUUUGAAUAACCCGCGGAUACCCACGGAUACCAGCACAUAUAUUUUUUAAUUAAAAAAUAUAUUUUCUUAAUUAAAAUAUAUAUUUUUUUAUUUAUCCAUCUUAAAAAAUUCUAACCCUAAUUUCUUAUCGCGUCUUUUAUAUUACGAAUUUUUUCUUGUUUUAAGACUUUAAAUAUUUUUAUUGUAUGUUAUGAUAUUUUAAAUAAUAAAUUAUGCUAUAUUUUUAAAACAUAUAUAUAUAUGUAUUUGUAUUUAAAAAAUAUAAGGAAAAAAAGAAAAAAAAAAUUGCGAGUAACCCGCAUGCCCACCCGCCCAUCAGCGGGCGGGUAUGGGUAAAGAUGUUGGCUACCCAAAAAUUUGCGAGUAAAUUUUACCCAUGCCUAAGUAACCCGCGGAUACAAUUACUCGCCCACGGGUUAUCCAACCCACCAGUUUGCCAGGUCUAAUAAAUAGUACUUUUUCUAGGAUAAAUUGUAUCUCUAGUUUUAUUUUGAUUCUCAAAUAUUCUAAUUCUAACCGUCUAUCAAAAUUGAGAGAAAAAUUAGAUAUUAAUUCUAACCAUCUAUCAAAAUUGAGAGAAAAAUUAGAUAUUAAUUCUAACCAUCUAUCAAAAUUGAUGAAUAGUUAUGAACUUAAAAGCACAAGAAUUACCGUGCUUCUAAUAGUCUCUCUCUCUAUGUAAAUAUUCUAUGAUAAUGACUAUAACAAAAUAUUUUGUAAAUGUACAGAUAAAAAUAAAAUACCACUAAAUAUUUAAAAUACUCAAUAUGUAAUUUUGAAGUGUAAGGACCAUAAUGAAACUUAGAAUGAAAAUUCAGAGGCGGCCUACACAAUUUACUCCCUCCAGCAAUACUAUCUAUGUCUAUAAAUUUUAAAAGUGAGUUUAAAUCUUAUAUCCAAACCAAUAUUAUCAUCAUACUAAUAUUAUUAUUAUAUCUUUCAUAUAUUAAAAAAUAAAAAUUAAUACCUAAAUUUUUAGAACGUUAAUGAUAAAAUAAAAUUUGCACUCCAUCUUGAGUGCACAAAUAGCAUUUCCCUAUCCCCAUUUUCCUACAUUAGACUGGCUGUGCAGACGUUACUGAAGCAGCUGUCGACUUUGCGUGAGGCAACCACGUUGUACGCAACACCACGGACCGCAACCUGUCACGUGGACCCUCAGGGACCCAGGUGCAUUGUAUCUCCACAGAGACCGUACUGCACCGGUCUCCAACCAAGGUCGAUGUCACGUGACCCUCACGACCCCUCUCACACUGUUCCACACCCUCUUUCCAUUUCUUUAAAUUAAUAAAUAAUGAUAAUUCAGAAAAAGCAUCAGAAACCGUCGCCUUUUGUCCCUUUCCCCUCCCUAUUAUCCGUACGUCAAAAAAUAAAUUAAAAUAAAGGGGCAAAAAGAUUCUAAAAUUAAGGGCUCUAUAUAAAGGGAGGCGAGGACGCAAGCGAGAAGAGCUUAAUCUCGGAUAAACUCUUUUGCGGAGGAAAACAUGUGCGGAGGAGCGAUCAUCUCCGAUUUCGUAACCUAUAGGAACAUGGACGGCCGAGAUCUCCCGUCGCGGGAUCUCUCGCCGUUGGAUUCUCCGGCUACCGAUGACUCUAACAACCCUAACCCUAUAGGUAAUCUAUGGAUUCGUAAUUAGGGUUUCUAAUCUUUGUAGAUCGCCUCGCAAUGGCGUAACAGGAAAGAGUUUCUGAGUUUCUCUCUCUCUCUCUCUCUCUCUCUCUCUCUCUCUCGUGUGGAAAAAUGUGUGUGUGUGUGUGUGUGUGUGUGUGUGUGUGUGUGUGUGAACAGGAGGUGAAAGGACGAAAAAGGCCCUAGAGGGGGAGGGGGAGGAGGCGUCGAGAGGGAGGAGGAAGAGCGCGUACCGGGGGAUACGGCGGCGCCCGUGGGGGAAGUGGGCGGCGGAGAUCCGGGACCCGAGGAAGGGGAUGAGGGUGUGGCUGGGGACGUACAGCACGGCGGAGGACGCGGCGAGGGCGUACGACGCGGCGGCGCGCGAGAUCCGAG